rnacentral:rRNA from 1 species
AUGGUAGCUCCGGCAGCGUCGUGGCCUCUGCACUGCAGGUCAGACGGCGUUGACGGCCGCUGCAUCGCAGCUCAGCAGUGCAGCUCCGACGGCCGCUGCAUCGCAGCUCCGGCGGCGUCAUGGCCGCUGCAUUGCAGUUCCGACGGCGUCGACGGCUGCUGCAUCGCAGCUCCGGUGCCCGCUGCAUCACAGCUCCGGCGGCGUCGAUGGCCGCUGCAUCGCAGCUCCGGCGGCGUCGACGCUCGCUGUAUCACAACUCCGACAGCCGUUGCAUCGCAGCUCCGGUGGUGUCCCAGCCGCUACUGCCUAGCUGGGAGAUGUGCUUGGAGCGCUACCAUGGGCGAUGCAUGA